rnacentral:piRNA from 1 species
UAAAAUGCCAUGGAGUGCUAGCCUUUGUCC